rnacentral:rRNA from 1 species
GGCUCAGAUUGAACGCUGGCGGCAUGCUUUACACAUGCAAGUCGAACGGUAACAGGGACUUCGGUCUGCUGACGAGUGGCGAACGGGUGAGUAACAUAUCGGAACGUGCCCAGUAAUGGGGGAUAGCUCGGCGAAAGCCGGAUUAAUACCGCAUACGCCCUUAGGGGGAAAGCGGGGGAUCUUCGGACCUCGCGCUAUUGGAGCGGCCGAUGUCGGAUUAGCUAGUAGGUGAGGUAAAGGCUCACCUAGGCGACGAUCCGUAGCUGGUCUGAGAGGAUGAUCAGCCACACUGGGACUGAGACACGGCCCAGACUCCUACGGGAGGCAGCAGUGGGGAAUUUUGGACAAUGGGCGCAAGCCUGAUCCAGCCAUGCCGCGUGAGUGAAGAAGGCCUUCGGGUUGUAAAGCUCUUUCAGGUGGAAAGAAAUAGCGCUGUUUAAUAGAUGGCGUUGAUGACGGUACCACCAGAAGAAGCACCGGCUAACUACGUG